CAAUAGCGUAUAUUAAAGCUGUUGCGGUUAAAAAGCUCGUAGUUGGAUUUCUGUCAAGGACAACUGGUCCGCCCUCCGGGUGAGCACAUAGUUUGGUCUUGGCAUCUUGCUGGAAACUGUUACUGCGCUUGGUUGUGUGGUGCAGCUUUCAGCACUUUCACUUUGAGGAAAUUGGAGUGUUUCAAGCAGGCACAUGCCUUUGGACACAGUAGCAUGGAAUAAUUAGAUUGGGCUUUUGCUCCAACUUGUUGGUUCCUGGAGCUGAGGUGAGAAUCAAUGGGGAUUGUUGGGGGCAUCCGAAUUUAGCCGUCAGAGGUGAAAUUCUUGGAUCUGCUAAAGACGGACAACUGCGAAAGCGUUUGCCCAGGAUGUUUUCAUUGA
rnacentral:rRNA from 1 species